rnacentral:rRNA from 1 species
AUUGAACGCUGGCGGCAGGCCUAACACAUGCAAGUCGAGCGGCAGCGGGAAAGUAGCUUGCUACUUUUGCCGGCGAGCGGCGGACGGGUGAGUAAUGCCUGGGAAAUUGCCCAGUCGAGGGGGAUAACAGUUGGAAACGACUGCUAAUACCGCAUACGCCCUACGGGGGAAAGCAGGGGACCUUCGGGCCUUGCGCGAUUGGAUAUGCCCAGGUGGGAUUAGCUAGUUGGUGAGGUAAUGGCGCACCAAGGCGACGAUCCCUAGAUGGUCUGAGAGGAUGAUCAGCCACACUGGAAAUGAGACACGGUCCAGACUCCUACGGGAGGGAGCAGUGGGGAAUAUUGCACAAUGGGGGAAACCCUGAUGCAGCCAUGCCGCGUGUGUGAAGAAGGCCUUCGGGUUGUAAAGCACUUUCAGCGAGGAGGAAAGGUUGAUGCCUAAUACGUAUCAACUGUGACGUUACUCGCAGAAGAAGCACCGGCUAACUCCGUGCCAGCCGCCGCAGUAAGAC